ensembl:snRNA RNU6-362P RNA, U6 small nuclear 362, pseudogene
UCCGUCUCAAAAAUAAAAUAAAAUAAAAUUGGAAUGAUACAGAGAAGAUUAGCAUGGCUCCUUUAAAGUAAAGACGUGGUCCCUGUCCUC